rnacentral:pre_miRNA from 1 species
CAGAAAUGGGGGCUCCAUUGAGGACAAAGAAAACAUUUCGGAUCGUCUUAUCGCUCAUUGAAGCAGUCAUCCUUUGGCCUGAAGAGUGCUCCUAAUUCUU